rnacentral:other from 1 species
CGUCGCCUGUGGUGUUCGACAAGCGGGCUGGGUUACCUCUCGACCCUAAUUUGAAACACCCCGGGACCAGGCCUUGCCGGCAGCAUUGUGCAGGUCUGCCUCGAGCAGAAAGCCUUACCUGCCGCAGGAAGUCCCACUUGUUGCUCUGGUCGAGAGCAACGGUCCGCACCGGCAUUGCGGGUGACGC